rnacentral:lncRNA from 1 species
CUGAUUAACCAGGAUUAGAGUCAUGUGGGGAGCGGUCAGGUUAUGUUUUCAUAUUCUCAGCAGCACAGAAGGAAUUAGAGUCCACAAAUCUUCUUAUGUGGAUGCAAGGGUGCUCAACCUGGCGCCCGAAGACGAUGAUGCAAAAACAGCACGGGAGAUGAAGACGCUGAGUGGGAAUUGGAGGGAUCCUGCCUGCUGGGUACCCAGGCACACAGGGAAGGCUGCUUACGAACCUCCACCCCACCCCAGUGGCCCCCGGGACUGCCAGCUGUUUCUAAGGAGCUCAUGUGACUCUAGACUAUACCAAGUUGAUAAAAACGAACCAUCAUAACCAUCAAGAUUACCAUCAAAUCAUCGUCACCACCACAGUCAUCACCCUCCUCACUGUCACCACCCUCACGGUCGUCUAUCUUGUUCCAGGACGGAUGAUGUGGCCGUCACAUUUCCUUGUACCUGCUUCCCAGCUCCCGAAUUAAACUUGGGCUUCUUGGCCGUGUGCCCUCAUCUCAAGAGUUUCAAAAGAUCCACAAACACUUUCUGAAAAUUCUUGUCUAGCCAAUAUCUGCUGAGGACAGGAAAGCAAAACGGGGGAGAGUCCGGUGGGAGGAUGGAAGGUUCAGGUGAGUGAGAUUGGUGGCGCCUUAAAUUCUUGCAAAAACAGAAACUAACAGUAUAGGGUGGCUUUUCAGGGUCACCUACCAGCAGAUGGGCAGUUACACUUCCUGAUCACCUACUGUACCCUCAGUACUUUCUAUGCUAGCAGAUGCUACCUACUUAGGUACACACACUUUCAAAUAUGUCCUGCCAAUGAACCCCUCGACCCUUGCGGAUGAGUCAUGGUUAG